GGACAAGCAGCGCUGAGACAAAGUCAGAAGCUAGUGAGGAAGACGAUGUUGAGGCAUCAGUGGAAGCUUUAGAAAAACUUAUUCCAUUCAACCUUGAAGACUUUGAGAAGAGAGUUUCCGGAGAACUCGAAAGUUCUUCAGAAUCAACCCAGGAUGUUGUUGAUCAAUCAGAGAAAGCUCAACGGCCCUUCAAAAAAGGAGAUCGAGUUAAAUAUACUGGACCUUCUGGUGUUGUAAAAGCCGAUAACAGGUCCAUGUCCAGUGGUCAACGUGGUGAGAUAUAUGAGGUGAAUGGUGAACAGGUUGCUGUAAUUUUUGACGUUAGUGAAAAGCAAACCAUGGAAGAAGAGGAAGACGAGAUACCCAAAGCACAGGAUGUAAAACCAUCAAUAUACUGGAUUCCUGCCAACGAGAUUGAGCAUGAUCUUGAUGCUCAGGCUGAAGACUGCUACAUUGCCAUGGAGGUGCUAUGUGAGGUUUUGAAGUUUGCACAGCCUAUUAUUGUGUACUUUCCGGAUUCUUC
rnacentral:misc_RNA from 1 species